GUGGGGAAUAUUGGACAAUGGGCGAAAGCCUGAUCCAGCCAUGCCGCGUGAGUGAUGAAGGCCUUAGGGUUGUAAAGCUCUUUUGUCCGGGAAGAUAAUGACUGUACCGGAAGAAUAAGCCCCGGCUAACUUCGUGCCAGCAGCCGCGGUAAUACGAAGGGGGCUAGCGUUGCUCGGAAUCACUGGGCGUAAAGGGCGCGUAGGCGGACUUUUAAGUCGGAGGUGAAAGCCCAGGGCUCAACCCUGGAAUUGCCUUCGAUACUGGGAGUCUUGAGUUCGGAAGAGGUUGGUGGAACUGCGAGUGUAGAGGUGAAAUUCGUAGAUAUUCGCAAGAACACCGGUGGCGAAGGCGGCCAACUGGUCCGAAACUGACGCUGAGGCGCGAAAGCGUGGGGAGCAAACAGGAUUAGAUACCCCAGUAGUCC
rnacentral:rRNA from 1 species